AGUUAGCGGCGGACGGGUGAGUAACACGUGGGCAACCUGCCUGUAAGACUGGGAUAACUCCGGGAAACCGGGGCUAAUACCGGAUAAUUCAUUCCCUCUCAUGAGGGAAUGCUGAAAGACGGUUUCGGCUGUCACUUACAGAUGGGCCCGCGGCGCAUUAGCUAGUUGGUGAGGUAACGGCUCACCAAGGCCACGAUGCGUAGCCGACCUGAGAGGGUGAUCGGCCACACUGGGACUGAGACACGGCCCAGACUCCUACGGGAGGCAGCAGUAGGGAAUCUUCCGCAAUGGACGAAAGUCUGACGGAGCAACGCCGCGUGAGCGAUGAAGGCCUUCGGGUCGUAAAGCUCUGUUGUUAGGGAAGAACAAGUAUCGGAGUAACUGCCGGUACCUUGACGGUACCUAACCAGAAAGCCACGGCUAACUACGUGCCAGCAGCCGCGGUAAUACGUAGGUGGCAAGCGUUGUCCGGAAUUAUUGGGCGUAAAGCGCGCGCAGGCGGUCCUUUAAGUCUGAUGUGAAAGCCCACGGCUCAACCGUGGAGGGUCAAUUGGAAACUGGGGG
rnacentral:rRNA from 1 species